CGCCAUCUAAGCACUUCUUCAUCCGCCUACCUUACAGUACUGCUUGUUCUAUUAAUUUCUUCUUCUAACAAGUCUUUGAUUUCGUCUGGUUAACCUUUUUCGCUGUCCUUUCUCAGCCAUAGCCAUUGUGGUUUUCCUGUUGCGAAUACAGUGUAUCCCAUAGACAGUCCAAACACCAAUCCACAUCCAAAGCCCAUCAUAGCAAAUUUCC
rnacentral:misc_RNA from 1 species